rnacentral:rRNA from 1 species
CUGAGACCUGAUGCCGAGCCGAUUGUGGUGAAGUGGAUGAUCCUAUGCUGUCGAGAAAAGCCUCUAGCGAGUUUCAUGGCGGCCCGUACCCUAAACCGACUCAGGUGGUCAGGUAGAGAAUACCGAGGCGUUCGGGUGAACUAUGGUUAAGGAACUCGGCAAAAUGCCCCCGUAACUUCGGGAGAAGGGGGGCCAUGUCUGGUGAUGGGAUUUACUUCCUGAGCUGGGUGUGGCCGCAGAGACCAGCGAGAAGCGACUGUUUACUAAAAACACAGGUCCGUGCGAAGCCGUAAGGCGAUGUAUACGGACUGACGCCUGCCCGGUGCUGGAACGUUAAGGGGACCGGUUAGUCAGGAUUCGUUCUGGCGAAGCUGAGAACUUAAGCGCCAGUAAACGGCGGUGGUAACUAUAACCAUCCUAAGGUAGCGAAAUUCCUUGUCGGGUAAGUUCCGACCUGCACGAAUGGCGUAACGACUUCUCGACUGUCUCAACCAUAGGCCCGGUGAAAUUGCACUACGAGUAAAGAUGCUCGUUUCGCGCAGCAGGACGGAAAGACCCCGGGACCUUUACUAUAGCUUGAUAUUGGUGUUCGGUUCGGCUUGUGUAGGAUAGGUGGGAGACUGUGAAGUCAUGGCGCCAGCCAUGGUGGAGUCGUCGUUGAAAUACCACUCUGGUCGUGCUGGAUGUCUAACCUGGGUCCGUGAUCCGGAUCAGGGACAGUGUCUGGUGGGUAGUUUAACUGGGGCGGUUGCCUCCUAAAGGGUAACGGAGGCGCCCAAAGGUUCCCUCAGCCUGGUUGGCAAUCAGGUGUUGAGUGUAAGUGCACAAGGGAGCUUGACUGUGAGACCGACGGGUCGAGCAGGGACGAAAGUCGGGACUAGUGAUCCGGCGGUGGCUUGUGGAAGCGCCGUCGCUCAACGGAUAAAAGGUACCCCGGGGAUAACAGGCUGAUCUUCCCCAAGAGUCCAUAUCGACGGGAUGGUUUGGCACCUCGAUGUCGGCUCGUCGCAUCCUGGGGCUGGAGUCGGUCCCAAGGGUUGGGCUGUUCGCCCAUUAAAGCGGUACGCGAGCUGGGUUUAGAACGUCGUGAGACAGUUCGGUCCCUAUCCGCUGCGCGCGCAGGAGUCUUGAGAAGGGCUGUCCCUAGUACGAGAGGACCGGGACGGACGAACCUCUGGUGUGCCAGUUGUCCUGCCAAGGGCAUGGCUGGUUGGCUACGUUCGGGAGGGAUAACCGCUGAAAGCAUCUAAGCGGGAAGCCUGCUUCGAGAUGAGGACUCCCACCCACUUGAUGGGGUAAGGCUCCCAGUAGACGACUGGGUUGAUAGGCCAGGUGUGGAAGACCGGUAACGGUUGGAGCUGACUGGUACUAAUAGGCCGAGGGCUUGUCCUCAGUUG